AUUGCAAAUGUUAGUCUUUACAUUGUUAUACAGUUUCAUUUUCAGGCAAGCUGUCAUCAAGUCAUAUCUACAUUUUCCAUGUAGUAUUCGAUUGUCUAUACCUUGUAAAUCUUACUUCUAGAGUGCCCUAUGUGGGUGGCUGUUUUUUGAUAAUGUUUUAUAGUGAUCUUAGAUAGUCUAUCCAGGGGGUCCAUAUUUUCCCAUAGUGGUGACUUUUAUUGUGUAUCAUGAAGGUUAUUUCCUCCAUUUGCCUAAUAUCCUCUGUGUUGGCUAGCCAUUCUGUGAAUAGUGGGGGGUCUGUAGAUUUCCAUUUUCUUGGAAUGAUCGAUUUCGCAGAUUGUAAUAAGUGUAACGUGAGAGGGUCUGAAAUGGUGGCAUUACUACGUAGGCGGACAUUAAGUAGAAUUAGUGCAGGGUCUCCAAUGUCAAGAUUGAAUUUCGUAAUGUGAUUUAUUGUGCCCAGAAUAUCCAACCAGUAUUGUUGUAUUUUGGGGCAAGUCAGCCAGAUAUGUGUGUGAGUGCCUCUGUGGCUGUUGCAUCUCCAGCAUAAAUCAGAACUGUUGGGGUACAUUCUACUUAAUUUUGCCGGUGUGUAAUGCCACCUCGUUACCAGCUUAAAGAUCGCCUCGUUUGUUCUCGAUGCUCUGGAUGUUUUGUGCAUGGUGCUGAGGAUUCUGUCCCAGGCUUCCUCUGAUAUUUCGGUGGCAAGUUCCUUGUCCCAUGCUUUACAAAAUGCCCUGGGUGGUAAGGGCAUGGCAUUCAAUAAGUACCUGUAUGCUUUAGAGAGUGGUUUAUUAAUCAUCUUUGAGCCUAUCAUGAAUUGCUCCCGUGGGGUCAAAGGUCUGUUCCAUCUCUGAGGCUUGUUAGCUUGUAGGAAAUGAUAAAUUUGGUUAUAAUUCAAUAUGUCCCUUGGAUGGGAUCCCCAUUUUUUUUGAAUUUCCGCUAAUGUGAUUAUUCUAUUAUCUUUAAGAAAGUCUUUAAGUCUGGUCGGUUGAUUCUCCCAUGAUGCCCAUCUAUCAAAAGAUCCUUUUUCCAAUCCUGGGGUAAAAUUGGGAUUUAAUGUGAGGGGUUGUAGGACAUAGGGAGUGCUAGUAAGCUUAUAGAUUUCCUUAUUUUUAUGCCAUGCCCUUAAAGUCGCAUAUAUCAAGGGAUGUUGUUUUACUGUCCUUAGAGUAGGCCCUUCCUCUGACCAUAGUGCAUUUUCUAAGGGAAAUGAUAAGAACUGUUGUUCCAGUAUACACCAUUCUUUUUUCGUUUUUUCUAGUGUCCAAGCAAGAAUUCGGACUAAGUGUGUGGAUAUAUAGUAAAGAUAAAUAUCGGGAAGACUUCGGCCCCCUUUUUCUUUGGGUAAGGCCUAUUCCUGCUAAGGUCCCAUCUAGGAAGUCCCAUGAUACCCUAUCAAAGGCCUUCUCUGCGUCUGUGGGAUGAAGCCUGCCUGGUCUGUAUGUAUCAGCUCUGAUUACUGCUGAUCGCUAUCAGAUGGCCCCUCAGGACACAUUUCAGGGUUUCCCAUAGUGUCGCCGGAGAAGUAUCAGCUGAGGAAUUGUUGACUGCACAACUUUUUAAAUACGUGCAAUUUUUUUUUCCUGCAACUGUGACUUUUUGAUGGGAACGCAACUUUUUUUUGAUGCAACUGUG